CAAAUAUUGUAUACAUAUCUUUAUGUAUACAAAACAUUCAUUUCUACACAUACUGAAUAAUCAUAACACAAGGUGAUACAAUGUUGCUCUAUGUAUUUGGCUGUUUGUUAGUGUUUAUGGGGUCCUCCAUAGCACAGACCCCUGAAGAGUGUAUGAACCAAAACUUGCCAAGGACUCCGGAAGCUGGGGAGACAGUAGAAUUCUACACGCAUCCAUAUUGCAUGAAUGCAAGCAUCACUUGGAACUACCCCCAGGGGGCAGUACGAGCACGAUUCCAGCUCGGAAAUGGUGGUCAUAACUUUGACAUCUGCUUAACACACAGUGAUGUCGCUUUUAUUGAGGAUAUUUAUGAUGAAACUGGUGGUUUGAGCAGACGUAUCCCUGCCCCAACCCCAGGAUCUGACACUUGUGUCUCCUCCAGUCAAGCAGAGGCUGUCAUCAGAUUUGUGGCUCCUAAUGUUCUCUACUAUGUUACCUACAUACCAUACUACAUCAAUGGACCACUUUAAGACAAGAAACCACAUCAAUAGACAACUUAGCAACUAGAUACCACAUCAAUAAACCACUUAGCAACUAGAUACCACAUCAAUAAACCACUUAGCAACUAGAUGCCACAUCAAUAAACCACUUAGCAACUAGAUACCACAUCAAUAGACAACUUAGCAACUAGAUACCACAUCAAUAAACCACUUAGCAACUAGAUACCACAUCAAUGGCCCACAGGAUACCACACCAGUUACAAAAACGAAAAGAAACACCUUAACAACUUGACAUUGCAUCAAUGUACUGUUUAUAAUUGAUCACAUCAUCAAAGUUAAUACAAACAUAUUGAUUAUUGUUGCUUAUUCUAACAUGAUAUAUGAGUUCAUAAUAACUGGUACAACUGAUUUUAAUUUCAAUAUAUCACAAUAUAUACGAAAAAAAGACAACAUUUCCAUGGAGAUUUUCAAAGAUUUUUUCAUGAACUUUGUACAAUUUCUAAGUUGGUGGAAAUAGAUCUGCAGGUGAUUCAAAAUCUCAAAUGGAUGCAUCAAUAUUGGGAAGGUACUUACUGUAUAGGGGGCCAGAUGGGGUCUGUUUCCUCCAGGAAUAUAUAAGGAUCUUCCUUAAACCCACCCGCUUUGCGCUUUUUCUUCAUCUGUGAACAAUAGGGGGCACUGCAAUUACAGAAAUAUGAACAGUUAAAACAAGGAUGAUUCCAGCCGGCAGCCAAGAUUCCUUCCGAUCUUUAUUUGUUUGGCAUUGAACAAGUUGGUUAU
rnacentral:misc_RNA from 1 species